UUACUCUGGCUUCCCUUCAGAACGCAUAAAUCUUUCGCCUUUUACUAAAGAUUUCCGUGGAGGGGAGCAACUCAAUGAGUCUCCCUACUUUAUCUCAUUUGAUUCCAAGUAG